AACGAAAAGUGUGCACUCUGAACGACUUCGUAAGACACCAGGCAGCAGUCCCAGGACAGAUAACAUUAGGAAGCCCACCUAAUGGAUAUUUCUGGAGGUAUGAUGGACAACUGACACAACGGGUGACUUGGAUGCAUUAGGGACUCUGAACGACAUCGGAGGAACCGAUGAAACAGACAGUAUUCUGCCUUUUAUGUAUGAAAGGUUUUUCCAGCACACCGCGAACAGAGGAUUUAAAAACGGCCAGACAACUCCCCCGGGAACCUCAACCCACUCGCUACACAUUCCAUGUCCCAACAAACAACGCACAACUGUGGCCCAAGUGCAUUGCUCUGAAUCACCCCGGCCCAAGAAGGGCUACAGGGCUGCAAAUGUACGGAUUCAAGAACUGGCGCUCUAUGGACACGACUCCCACGAGACCGGCCCUGCAGAAUAGGGAAACACUAGAUGCAAAAAGUCACGCCCCUGCGGUUUCUACGAUUCGUCAGAACAGCCAGCGCAAGAAAAGCCGAGACUCCUCCCCGGCGAAAAACGGUACAGAAGGCCACAUACAUCUAGAGCUGGGGGAUCCUAUGUAACACCCUCUGUUUCACAGAAACUUGGCUCUCUCAGGAUAUACUGUCUUUGUCUACACGGCCAGCUGGGUUCUCAGACAGAAGUAAGGAACUCUCCGGGAAGAAGAAAGGUGGGGGUGUUUGUUUCAUGAUUAACUACUCAUUGUGUGAUUGUGAUAACAUACAGAAACUCAAGUCAUUUUGUUCACCCGACCUAGAAUACCUCAUAUGUUCCGGGUAGCCUCAAAGAAUAACAUUAGCAAAUACACGGAUACGGUGACUGAGUUUGUCAGGAAGUGUACAGGAGAUGUUGUACCCACUGUGACUAUUAAAACCUACCCAAACCAGAAACCGUGGAUAGAGGGCAGCAUUCACACAAAACUGAAAGUGAAAACCAUGGCAUUUAACCAUGGCAAGUUGACUAGGAAUAUGGCCGAAUACAAACACUGUAGUUAUUCCCUCCGUAAGGCAAUCAAACAGGCAAAACGACAGUAUAGAAACAAAGUGGAGUCGCAAUUCAACGGUUCAGACACGAUACGUAUGUGUCAGGAUAACAAAGUAAAAACUAGCCACGUUGCGGACACAGACGUUUUGCUUCCGUACAAGCUAAACACCUUCUUCGCCUGCUUUGAGGAUAAUGCAGUGCUGUCAACGCGGCCCUCUACCAAGGACUGUGGGCUCUCCUUCUCCGUGGGCGACAUGAAUAAGGUAUUUAAUAUAAUUUAACCAUUAUUUAACUAGGCAAGUCAGUUAAGAACAAAUUCUUAUUUACAAUGAUGGCCUACACCAGCCAAACCCGGACGACGCUGGGCCAAUUGUGCACCGCUCUAUGAGACUCCCAAUCAUGGCCCCACUUGCUUCAAGAUGUCCACCAUUGUUCUUGUACCCAAGAAAGCAAAGGUAACUUAACAAAAUGACUCUCACCCCAUAGAUCUCACUUCUGUCAUCAUGAAGUGCUUUUCCUCCUACUUGGAGGAUUCCCAGAUUUCCUACUUAUUCCCUCCCCUAAUUUGGGGAAAUGUGUAACAUUAACAUAUAACCUAGAAGUCAUCCUGUCUAACACAAACCAGGUCAAACAGCAGCAGGGGAAAUGUGCAACAUUAACAUAUAUCCUAGAAGUGUCAUACCCUGAUCUGUUUCACCUGUCUUUGUGCUUGUCUCCACCUCUCUCCAGGUGUCGCCCAUCUUCCCCAUUAUCCCCAGUGUAUUUAUACCUGUGUUCUCUGUUUGUCUGUUGCCAGGUCGCUUUGUACAUCAAACUUACAGCGUUUUCCCCUUGCUCCUGUCUUGUUCUAGUUUCGGUUUUCUAGUUUUCCCGGUUUUUGACCUUUCUGCCUGCCCUGACCCUGACCCUGCCAUUCUGUACCUUGUCACACCACAUUGGAUUAUUAAUCUCUGCCUUACCUGACCCCAAGACUGCCUGCUGUUCUUUACCUUAGGGACUCUGAUCUGGAUUACUGACCCCUGUUCUAGUAAUAAACUUGUGUUACUUCGACACUGUAUGCUUCUGGGUCUUCUCCUAAAAUGUGAUAAACUGCUUACAGGGUAAAGGCGUCAGCAGGCUUCAGUUUGGCUGGCGCCUAGCUGAACUCGACUAGCCGAACUGAACCAAAAAAUCGGCAACAGUACUGUUUGUCCAUUUUGAGAUGCCGUAACCAGUAUACACCUCCUCAAAAUAGUCAGAUUUGUUCUAAGAUAC